rnacentral:rRNA from 1 species
UACGUAGGGUGCGAGCGUUAAUCGGAAUUACUGGGCGUAAAGCGUGCGCAGGCGGUUUUGUAAGCCAGAUGUGAAAUCCCUGGGCUUAACCUGGGAAUGGCAUUUGGGACUGCAAGGCUCGAGUGCGGCAGAGGAGACUGGAAUUCCUGGUGUAGCAGUGAAAUGCGUAGAUAUCAGGAGGAACACCGAUGGCGAAGGCAGGUCUCUGGGCUGACACUGACGCUCAUGCACGAAAGCGUGGGGAGCGAACAGG